UAUUAAUAAAACUGUAUAAAAAUACAAUAUAUAUAUAUAUAUAUAGUGUCGGAUCCUUAAUUUCUAUCGCUGGUGUUUUCAUUUUAAAUUCGGUAAAAGUUGAAGACGAUUGAAGAAUUAAUGCUGAUUUAAGAAAGAAAAAAUUGAAUUGGAGAAAAAUCAAUCCUUCCUCCAGAACCGACUAGAAGGUUGACAGUUUAGUGAUUGAUUUACACCUCCAUUCCGCUUUAUGGAAGUAUAAAAAAAGUACGAGGAAUAUUAUUAGAUGAUGUCGGAUUUAGAUUUAUCAUCAUCUCCUCCCUGCCUUCUUGUCCGUUGUUUGAAUCGCAGUUCGAAUGCCGCUAUAGUAAUAAAGGUGCGCGUAACUUGAUUGAAAAGCGGCUAAAAGACGAAUGUAAAACAGUUAUAAAUCCAUCAUUAGUUAGAUGACCACUGUCUGUCGAUAGGCUAAUUUAUUACGAGAUAAAUAAAUGUGAGAAAUGACGAAAAGUAGGCUAUAAGGCGUUUUGCAUUUCUACAAAACAGCCAAAGAGAGAAAAGCUACCGAAUCUAAUUUUGGUAUCUGGAAAAUUUACUUUUAUUCAAUUUUAUUUUUGCAUUUCGAUGUCCGAUCACAUCCUUUGAGUUUUUGAACUUGGCCCGUUAAGCGCAUUUUCAAAUUUAGUUAUUGUAAAAAAAAAACCUGGUUUAUGUUGGAAGAACACCGAAUCGGAAAAAAAACAAAAAAAAAAAAAAAUGUAAAUAUGAAUGUAAGUUGCACGCGCGUUUGAUCAUAUCUACUUUCUGACUCCAGAGGAGAAGACUGUAAAUCUUUUAUCGUAUGGUUUUCUUAAAUUUUUUCCUACCAAGUUAUUUCUCGAAGAGAAAGUAUGCCUCUUGUUGUCACGUGUUUAUGGCCGAGGUGAAUAUGAGUCUGUUUCUGGAGAAAAGGAAAGGAAAAUUGAAAGCUCUCCAAGUGCAUUGGGUAAUUCUUUCUGAAUUUAUCUUUCAUUGCGAAGUUGUUCUUUUCUCUCCUCUCCCGGUCUGUCUUUCUGUUCGAAGCUAGAAGUGGAGAAAGAGGCGAUCUUCUAACCAAAGCCAGUUAUUCAUAAGAAUGAUAAAAUUUGUGGUUACAUAAUGAGAAUGUGGCGAUUAAGUAAUCGCUCCUAUCAAUCGUGAUUAAGGAGAAGAGUGGCUGGUAUAUGUGAAGUAUUGUAGGUAAUUUAACUCCUGGUAAUCCACUCGUUGCUCGUAUUAAUUAUCAAAAUCGUUCCGCCCGUUAUCCUCGGUCGACAAAUUAAAUUCAACUCAAAUUUGGCUACCCAGUUUCGAAAAUGCCUCCUCAUCUUUUGUGAAAUUCGAAUGCGGCCGAAGAGAAAAAUCACCCGAUCGGAAUGUAAAAUAUUCAAAUUUCUGGCUGCCAUCAUUAAAUAACUUUAAAAUGAAGAAACUUUAAAUUUGUUUGUAAGAUUCGAGUUUAUUUCUGGCAAAAAGUCGGUUUUGAUUAAAUAAAGGCGCCGAUAAUUGGCUAUUUAAAAAAUAAAAAAUAAAAAAACCAAC
rnacentral:lncRNA from 1 species